rnacentral:rRNA from 1 species
UACAGAGGUCUCAAGCGUUGUUCGGAUUCAUUGGGCGUAAAGGGUGCGUAGGCGGCGCGGUAAGUCGGGUGUGAAAUCUCGGAGCUUAACUCCGAAACUGCAUUCGAUACUGCCGUGCUUGAGGACUGGAGAGGAGACUGGAAUUUACGGUGUAGCGGUGAAAUGCGUAGAUAUCGUAAGGAAGACCAGUGGCGAAGGCGGGUCUCUGGACAGUUCCUGACGCUGAAGCACGAAGGCCAGGGGGGAGCAAACGGG